GAAUGCCCGUGGCAGGCAGGUUUUAUUUUCAAGAUUAGCGGUCCCUUAGAAUGUAAGAAAUAAAACAGGAGAAACGGGCAUAAGUUCAGGCAGGUCCAACUUCUUUUGUUCAAACGCAAGGACAGGAUGUGGAACAAUUUUCUGUCUUGUGGGUGACCAUUUUUUUUUCUUUGCCCGUAUCAUCUCCAAGCCCUUAGACCCAUUAGCCUAAUUAAUAUAAGAACAUGUGCAUAUGCAAACAAGAUUCUUCACCAUAUAUUUCACUUUAUAAGACAGGUUGAAGGGUAGUUGGGGGAGUCAAUCAACUGUCAUAAAUUUGCUAUGCAUAAGGCCUCAUUAAUAUUAAUUGGGGCGUGGGCAUUGUGCAGUGGUCCGUGCUUGCCAUUAGAGGUGGGCCCUUUGCUUUAACUGUCCCUGAGAUUAGGAAAACGAAAGCCUCUGACCCGAUUUAAAUAUGGAAUCUACACCAGGCUCCAGGUACUGAGCAGAAUCAGAAAGGUAUUUUUUAAAAAAAAAAUACAGAGCAGACCUUUUCUAAGACAGAUGGCACACAAUGAGGUUAGAAAAAGUAUCUUGAGAUCCAACCUGCAAGAACAAAAAAAAAAAAAAAAAAAAGCCCUGCUCGCAUUGUUGUUUUCAUUAUCUUGCUUCUGUCAUUUCGUGAGCUUUGUAUCUUGCAAGGAAAGAAAGAAGGGAGAAAAACUGUGAAAUUAAUCUUUUGUGCAUGGCCUGAUAAAGAAGAGACACGCUCAGACAAAAGAUAGACUGAGAGAAGGUACCGUGAUUGAUGACUAAAGUAAAGGUGUCAGGAGAGUAUUAUGUAAAUUACUGGAGGCACACACCAUUUCAGAAAGAAUGAGAGGGAGCUGAAGGGGGAGCGAGGGAGAGGGAAGGCGAGAAAGGAGUGAGGCGCGCCGAGAGUGAAAAAAGGAUUGCAGAGCCAUGUCACCAAAGAACUGGUCCCCAAACACCCAUUUCUUGCCAUCUUUCAUCUCCUCCGACAAGCUCACCUCCCAUUCUCCCUGGGCUGCACGCGGUAACAAAGGGGAUGGGGGCGGGGAGAGCUGUCAACAUUAGCAUGAUUCCAGCCACGGCAAGGUUUAGGGAAAGCGCGUCUGAAGUGAGAGCGGCGAGCAGGGAAGUUUCUGUUCAAGGGGGAAAGCUGGCUGGCGACUGCGAGUGUCUCUCUGUGGAGUGUGCCUCCGUGAGACAUGGGGACAAUCCUUGGCUGCUCUCAUUCUUCACGGUACAAAUUGGCUUCAAAAAUCCUGAGUCUUCCCCCCAACAGUCUCCGGGUGCAUCUAAGCAUCUGUGUUGAGCACAUGGAGGGGCCACUAAACAAAGGUGGGUGAAAAGUUAUGCUAAAGGCCGAGCCAGAAGCCUCACUACAAAAAUUCUCGUCAUCACCCCGCUUUGGCUUCAUUUCCUAAUGAAAUGAAUGAAGCAAGUGUUGAAAACACCUUCAUCUCCCUGACCGGAUGAGUCUGAAGUAACAGUAGGCUUAGAUUCAAUUAUCUGAAUAGGUGAUGACCUCACAAAGGACUGGGCUGCCUUCCGGAUGGGUGGACCUACAAAUGUCUCUUUCCUACAAAUCCAACAGUUUCUACAGAUUCUGAAAGAAAACAACCCUUGCAAAGCUGCGGAAGCCCAAUCUGGAGACGGCCAGAUUGUUCCUCAGAAAACUCAGCAGAAGACUCGUUUACAGCUCGGCCUUCCUUACAGGAGCAAACCCUGUUCUGUUUCUCAGCAGUGGAAUGCUGGCCCAAAGAUGAAAUGAAGAAAAUCAACCUUCCAGCUGAACCUAUUGAUUCCACCUGCCUUUCAAUUUUUGCCUCAAAAUGUUUCAGAUGAAUAAUGUUUCCCUUCUCAGAGAAGAGGAAAUAUUGAUAUCACACAAGCCAUAAUGCAAAUGAACAUUAAAGGUGUCAGACUCUA